GACGAACGCUGGCGGCGUGCUUAACACAUGCAAGUCGAACGGAAAGGCCCUGCUUUUGUGGGGUGCUCGAGUGGCGAACGGGUGAGUAACACGUGAGUAACCUGCCCUUGACUUUGGGAUAACUUCAGUAAACUGGGGCGAAUACCGGAUAGGAGCUCCUGCUGCAUGGUGGGGGUUGGUAAGUGUCGGCGUUGGGGGAUGGACUCGUGGCUUAUCAUCGUGUUGGUGGGGUGGUGGAUUACCACGUCUUUGACGGGUAGCCGGCCUGCGGGGGUGACCGGCCCCAAUGGGCCUGAGGUACGGCCCAGAGUCAUACGGGAGGCAGCAGUGGAGAAUAGAGCAAAAUGGGCGGAAGCAUGAUGCAGCAACGUCGCGUGGGGGAUCACGGCCUUCAGGUUGUAACCCGCUUUCGACUGUGACGAAGCGUGAGUGACGGUAAUGGGUCAAGAAGCACCGGCUAACUACGUG
rnacentral:rRNA from 1 species